rnacentral:lncRNA from 1 species
CUCUCUUGCUUCCUUUUGUUCUCCAGGGUGGCCGGUGUGGGCAGCUGGUGGCUUCCAUAAACUUCAAAUCUUUUUCAAGAUCAUGCAUUCUUGCAACCGGGGAAGAAUGGCCUACAAAGCCUGGUUUGGACCACAUAUAUCCCGGAUUUCCUUGGACCGACUCAACUAUUUGUCCCAGCUCCAAGUUUCAAGAAGCCAGUCAAGACUGUCAGGAAUUCAAAGGUGACCUUGCCAUUAUCUGAGAUUUAGUGUUUCUCAGGGUGACACUGAGGGAUGUCACCACAUUCAUAAUUAUCAUACCAAGAAGUGAUUACACUAUGGCCACAAAGUUCUUGGUAAUUUGAAAACUGUACCACAAGUAAAGGUUAACAAUGUAAAUGUAUUCUCUAAAAGUCCACCUCUGAAAA